rnacentral:hammerhead_ribozyme from 1 species
AUCCAGCUGACGAGUCCCACAUAUGACGAAACGUGCCUCAUGGAU